GCGUGAGUAAAGAAGGCCUUAGGGUUGUAAAGCUCUUUCGGCGGGGAAGAUGAUGACGGUACCCGCAGAAGAAGCCCCGGCUAACUCCGUGCCAGCAGCCGCGGUAAUACGGAGGGGGCUAGCGUUGUUCGGAAUUACUGGGCGUAAAGGGCGUGUAGGCUGUUUGCCGAGUCAGGCGUGAAAGCCCCGGGCUUAACCUGGGAACUGCGCUUGAUACGGGCAGGCUAGAGGUUGGAAGAGGAGAGUGGAAUUCCCAGUGUAGAGGUGAAAUUCGU
rnacentral:rRNA from 1 species